CAGGAAUGGAUCAUAUACUGUAAGAAGCUUAAGUUCUUGGAAUGACUCUUAGGAUCCCAUAUGCUUGGACAGUCUCGAGGAAGCAGAAGCUCAGUUUUCCUUUGUUAAACUCACAAUCAUGUGUUACAAACAAAAUGUAAAGGAUAUAGGUGUUCUGUUCCCUAGAGCUGGGAUUCAACAUGUUGUAGGUAAUUCCUUUCUUAAUUUCCUGUAUAACGUAGAUGAAGCCCGUGAUAUUAGGUUCAACAAGUUCAGAAGAAAUAUGAUGUUAUUCAAUACGUGUACCAAAAUAUGCUCAACUUUAAUCCAACAUUGU